rnacentral:rRNA from 1 species
CAAAUUUCAUGCCCUAUCAAGCUUCGAUGGUAGGAUAGAGGCCUACAUGCUUUGUUACGGGUAACGGCGAAUUAGGGUUCGAUUCCGGAGAGGGAGCCUGAGAAACGGCUACCACAUCUAAGGAAGGCAGCAGGCGCGCAAAUUACCCAAUCCUGAUUCAGGGAGGUAGUGACAAUAAAUAACAAUCCAGGACUUCGGUCUUGGACUUGGCAAUGAGAACAAUUUCAAAUCUCUUAUCGAGGAACAACUGGAGGGCAAGUCUGGUGCCAGCAGCCGCGGUAAUUCCAGCUCCAAUAGCGUAUAUUAAAGUUGUUGCAGUUAAAAAGCUCGUAGUUGAACCUUGGGCCUGGAUGGCACGGUACCGCCUCACCAGAGUGAACUAGGUCCGGACGGGCCUUUCCUUACUGGGGAGCCGAUGCCUUCAAUUGGGUGUGUCGGAGGAACCAGGACUUUUAACUUUGAAAACAAUUAGAGUGUUCAAAGCAG